GACGAACGCUGGCGGCGUGCUUAACCCAUGCAAGUCGAACGAAGUGGCGAACGGGUGAGUAACGCGUAAUCAACCUGCCCUUCAGAGGGGGACAACAGUUGGAAAAGACUGCUAAUACCGCAUAACGACGGUGGGGAUUGCGACUGAUUAGCUCGUUGGAGGGGUAACGGCCCACCAAGGAGAUGAUCAGUAGCCGGGCUUAGAGGAUGAACGGCCACAUGGGUACUGAAACACGGCCCAGACUCCUACGGGAGGCAGCAGUGGUGAAUCUUCCGCAAUGGACGAAAGUCUGACGGAGCAACGCCGCGUGAGGGAUGACGGCCUUCGGGUUGUAAAGCUCUGUUAAUCGGGACGCGGUACCGGAAUAGAAAGCCACGGCUAACUACGUGCCAGCAGCCGCGGUAAUUC
rnacentral:rRNA from 1 species